UUUGAUUAUGGCUCAAGAUUAGACAUGGCGGGACGCUUUACAUGCAAGUCGAACGGCAGCACGGACUUCGGUCUGGUGGCGAGUGGCGAACGGGUGAGUAAUGUAUCGGAACGUGCCUAGUAGCGGGGGAUAACUACGCGAAAGCGUAGCUAAUACGCGCCGCCCUUCGAGGAAAGCGGGGGGACCUUCGGGCCUCGCACUAUUAGAGCGG
rnacentral:misc_RNA from 1 species